GACGAACGCUGGCGGCGUGCUUAACACAUGCAAGUCGAACGGAAAGGCCCCUUUGGGGGUACUCGAGUGGCGAACGGGUGAGUAACACGUGAGUAACCUGCCCUUGACUUCGGGAUAACUUCAGGAAACUGGGGCUAAUACCGGAUAGGAAUCCUUGCUGCAUGGUGGGGGUUGGAAAGCUUCGGCGGUUUUGGAUGGACUCGCGGCUUAUCAGCUUGUUGGUGGGGUAGUGGCUUACCAAGGCUUUGACGGGUAGCCGGCCUGAGAGGGCGACCGGCCACAUUGGGACUGAGAUACGGCCCAGACUCCUACGGGAGGCAGCAGUGGGGAAUAUUGCACAAUGGGCGGAAGCCUGAUGCAGCAACGCCGCGUGCGGGAUGACGGCCUUCGGGUUGUAAACCGCUUUUAGCAGGGGCGAAGCUUGUGGUGACGGUACCUGCAGAAGAAGCACCGGCUAACUACGUG
rnacentral:rRNA from 1 species